CCCCUGGAGUUAGAAAAGUGGUUAACUCCAGGGGAGUGGUGUUUCUUGGUAUUGAUCCAAUCGGCACCCCUGCAAAAUUAAAACAUAUCACACUAGACCGGAAAAGAAGGAGGAUGACGUAGUUGGAAGAGAGGCAGCCAUGGUCUGAGACCACAAGGAGAUAGGGGCCAACGAGCCCCACUGGGGCCCAAGGCCCCUAGCCCCCAGCCAAGACUACGGGAGACCCGGUGUAGUGUUAAAACUGGACUGGGUGCCGUCAUCAAAGGCUGGGGGAGUUUCUCCACUAUGAGCAGCAGCAGAAGACACUGAAAGCAGUGGCGGAGCAGCACUGAACAGAGAACUGUGGCUGAGAGCCAAAAGAGAUAGCAAGCAGCAAGAUGGCACAUAGCCAGGCUGGGAGAUGCAGAGAUGUUCCUGCAGGAGGGAGAGCUGGCAACAAAGCAGAGAAAACUCAGCAAAGACUGUUUUGGGGGGAGAAUGACACCAGCAAGUAAUUUUGUGGACCAGCAGACAUCUCCAUCUACAGGAUAGAGACAGCAAAAUGCUGUCAGACAUGAUUUUAUUUAGUCUUCUAAUUUGUGCUUCUUCUGUAACUAAAACCUAUACAUUUUAUCUUCAUUAGGCCAUGAAACUGCUUUUCUGUCAUAUAAGCAAGGAAAAUCACGUUUCAUUUUCAGAGAAUUACUGUAUGCUUUGAGAAUCUGGAACUGAAGGCUAAGAGAGUUUAGAAACUUUAAGAGAGAAAUAAUCAUCAUGAAUUUCAAUGCCUACAAUGUUGCUUUCCUAGUAGCAAAUGUAGUUUAUAUAUGCCAUUAAAGAAGGCCAUAAAUACACCUGCUGGAACUCACUCACACGGGCAAGUAUCACACCAGUGAGUCAGAAAAGGGUCAGCUGAUGACUCAAUCGUAUUUUUUUUCCUUAUUUGAUUGAUUUGAUUUUUCAUCAUCAUAGUAAAAUCACAGUUAAGACACUGUUGAAGAGAGAUGUAUGUGGAGCAUCUGAUGAUGUUCCAAGCCCUGGUAUGGUUUCUCUUAGCACCUAUACAGAUAAGCUGAACAGAGAACUGGUAAUUCAGAGCUUUCUGUAUGCUAGACAAUUCUAGGUGGCUCUUGGACUAAUCAUUACUCAAAAAAGAUGGAAGUCUACUAUACUGCCAAAUUAAGAAUUCAAUUUAAAGCGUCAAAUAUAUAUAUAUGCAUUUCCUUUUCUUAGGUAUCUAGAACCAUGACCACCUCCAAAUCUAGAAGAAUCGAGUAACAAUUUGACAGCAACAAGUAUUUUACAAUAAUCCUGCAUUAGUGUGAAGCAUGAAACUUGCACAGACUAGGAACCUUGACAGAGGGAAAGAUGCUGCCAGAAUUAAGUUUUUUUCUACCACUUUUAUUCAGUCCCCCUGUGAAUGGAUCUCUAAAUCACUAAACAAAUCUCCCACAAUGCUUUUUCUUAUUCAAGACACUGCCUGGUUGUAUUCAGAGGAUGAUGCAGGACUGUUUAAUAAAAGUGAAUUCUUCUCUUAUAAUUUGGAAGGUUAUCUGGAAGCUAAGGAGGAGGAAAACAAAUUUAAGGGAGGUCUAAUGAUUUAAGUAACCACUAGUACCAUAUGGAACUGGAUUUUAGCUUCAUUUCUGUUGCAAAGCAUCUGUGAGUGAAGUGGUGCAUAGUUUAUUUGAAAUAAAUAAUGCUUAUUCUG